rnacentral:rRNA from 1 species
GAUGAACGCUGGCGGCGUGUCUAACACAUGCAAGUCGAACGGACAUUUUUUGGAAAGUUCUUCGGAACUGGAAUCUAAAUGUUAGUGGCGGACGGGUGAGUAACGCGUGAGCAAUCUGCCUUUCAGAGGGGGAUAACAGCCGGAAACGGCUGCUAAUACCGCAUAAUGCAUUGGAUUCGCAUGUUUCUGAUGCCAAAGAUUUUAUCGCUGAAAGAUGAGCUCGCGUCUGAUUAGCUAGUUGGCGGGGUAACGGCCCACCAAGGCGACGAUCAGUAGCCGGACUGAGAGGUUGAACGGCCACAUUGGGACUGAGACACGGCCCAGACUCCUACGGGAGGCAGCAGUGGGGAAUAUUGCGCAAUGGGGGCAACCCUGACGCAGCAACGCCGCGUGAUUGAUGAAGGUCUUCGGAUUGUAAAAAUCUUUAAUCAGGGACGGAGAAAAUGACGGUACCUGAAGAAUAAGCUCCGGCUAACUACGUGCCAGCAGCCGCGGUAAUACGUAGGGAGCAAGCGUUAUCCGGAUUUACUGGGUGUAAAGGGCGUGUAGGCGGGCUUGCAAGUUGGAAGUGAAAUCUCGGGGCUUAACCCCGAAACUGCUUUCAAAACUGCGAGUCUUGAGUGAUGGAGAGGCAGGCGGAAUUCCCAGUGUAGCGGUGAAAUGCGUAGAUAUUGGGAGGAACACCAGUGGCGAAGGCGGCCUGCUGGACAUUAACUGACGCUGAGGCGCGAAAGCGUGGGGAGCAAACAGG